GCAGUCGACGGUAAGGCCAUUCGGGGUACACGAGUGGCGAACGGGUGAGUAACACGUGGGUGAUCUGCCCUGCACUUCGGGAUAAGCCCGGGAAACUGGGUCUAAUACCGGAUAGGACUGCGCGGUGCAUGCCGUGUGGUGGAAAGAUUUAUCGGUGCAGGAUGGGCCCGCGGCCUAUCAGCUUGUUGGUGGGGUAAUGGCCUACCAAGGCGACGACGGGUAGCCGGCCUGAGAGGGCGACCGGCCACACUGGGACUGAGACACGGCCCAGACUCCUACGGGAGGCAGCAGUGGGGAAUAUUGCACAAUGGGCGCAAGCCUGAUGCAGCGACGCCGCGUGAGGGAUGACGGCCUUCGGGUUGUAAACCUCUUUCAGCAGGGACGAAGCGUGAGUGACGGUACCUGCAGAAGAAGCACCGGCCAACUACGUGCCAGCAGCCGCGGUAAUACGUAGGGUGCAAGCGUUGUCCGGAAUUACUGGGCGUAAAGAGCUCGUAGGCGGUUUGUCGCGUCGUCUGUGAAAACCAGCAGCUCAACUGUUGGCUUGCAGGCGAUACGGGCAGACUUGAGUAUUUCAGGGGAGACUGGAAUUCCUGGUGUAGCGGUGAAAUGCGCAGAUAUCAGGAGGAACACCGGUGGCGAAGGCGGGUCUCUGGGAAAUAACUGACGCUGAGGAGCGAAAGCGUGGGUAGCGAACAGGAUUAGAUACCCUGGUAGUCCACGCCGUAAACGGUGGGCGCUAGGUGU
rnacentral:rRNA from 1 species